UGAAUAAACAUAUCACAGUGUGUCCAGUA
rnacentral:piRNA from 1 species